AGAGUUUGAUCCUGGCUCAGGAUGAACGCUGACAGAAUGCUUAACACAUGCAAGUCGAUGGGGAAGCGGCGCUUGCGCCGUGGCAACCAUGGCGGACGGGUGAGUAGCGCGUAAGAACUUGCCGGAUGGACCGGGAUAACAGCUGGAAACGGCUGGCAAGACCGGAUACUAUGGGCUGGCUGCAUGGCUGGCCCAUGAAAAGGGAUGCCGUCCGAGAGCUUUGCGUCCUAUUAGCUGGUUGGUAAGGUGACGGCUUACCAAGGCGAUGAUAGGUAGCCGGCCUGAGAGGGUGGACGGCCACAAGGGGACUGAGAUACGGCCCUUACUCCUACGGGAGGCAGCAGUGGGGAAUAUUGGACAAUGGGGGCAACCCUGAUCUAGCAAUUCUGUGUGCACGAAGAAGGUUUUCGGAUCGUAAAGUGCUUUCAGCAGGGAGGAAGGAAGUGACUGUACCUGCAGAAGAAGCGACGGCUAAAUACGUG
rnacentral:rRNA from 1 species